rnacentral:lncRNA from 1 species
CAAAUGCCUAUAAUCCCAGCAUUUGGGAGGCAGGGGUAGGAAGGAAUCUCAGGUUCAAGGCUGCCUUCAGGUGUCUCCAAAAAAAAAAAAAAAAAAAGAAGGAACAAAAGAAAGGUAAAUGCUAUAGUAUAAGUCCUUUAAAAAUCUAGUGGAAGGUUAAUGGUAGUUACACAUUUCUAAGCAGGGUUUUAAACAUAUUCCCCAUUAGUUUUUAGGUAAACAUGGACAAGUUAUAACUAAUGAAAAGGGCCUUUAGAUUUGUUUUUUGUUUUUUUUGUUUUUUUUCCCCAUUCAAAAUAUCAUUAAAGAGUUUCAAACAAAUUGAAAAUUCUGUGUUUGGAGAAAAUAAAGGAAAUCUUUAGAGUUUAGUAGACUAUUCAAAACUGUAAAAUAAUAUCUUUAAAAACCAUUCCGGCAACCAUCUGUUCCCAGAGGGUUUGAUUGAGAAAGCAGAUCAGGUGUGUGUAAGACAUCUCUUCAAACUCCAAACUAUGACCAGAAACACUUUAUCAUCACCCAUUGUGAGCAUCACUUGGUCAAAUUUACUGAGUCCAUUUUGAUCAUAAUGCCCGCAUACUAGUGUGAUUAAACACUGACUGUCCUGUCCAGUAAGAAUUUCUGCCUCAUCUAAUCGUGUGGCACCCUAUCUUUUCAUGUUGUUCAUUAUACCUGAAUUGUACCAUCAGUUUAGUUAAGAUGCAUGUAGUUUGCACAGUGAUUAAAGUGAACAGGUUAUGUUUAUAACAACUCUAGAGGAACCAUGGACACAGCAGGAAUUGUCACAGUAAAAACUGGUAGCAGGAAAAUUUGAAAGGGUUUGAAAUGCCCUGAAUGGGGCAAGUACUUUAUAGAGAAAAAAUGCAAAAAUGUCAACAUUUGACCAGAUGAACACUACCUCCUCCCCAGUUACUGGUAUUCACUCAUGUGUGUGUUUAAGAAAAUGAACGCAUGGAGAACUUGUGUAGCACACCAGAAGUUGUGGAUCUAUAUCUGGUAUCCAGAACCUACAGGGAAAUGUUUCUUUUUCUCCCUUUUUCGGGGUCAGCAUUUUAAAAAUGCAAAGCCUCAUAUGUUGAGACAUUUUAGGGGUUGGGGAUUUAGCUCAGUGGUAGAGCGCUUGCCUAGGAAGCGCAAGGCCCUGGGUUCAGUCCCCAGCUCCGGAAAAAAAGAACCAAAAAAAAAAAAAAAAAGACAUUUUAUUUCUAAUUAGAUUCCCUGCCCUUUGCACAUAACUUUUCUUCUAAACUGAGUUCUAACCCUAAAUUUUGACAUCAGAAAGUGUUUGCACUGUAUAAACAACGUUAGCUGAAAGCAUGUUUAUUUUUAAAAGAGCUCCUGCUCUUCUGCACAUUUCCAUAUCUAGAGAUGAAAACUCCUGAAUUUGAAGUCACACGCACAGGUGGAAUACAGCCUGAAGUCAAGGCCUUGCUAGUAAAUGAAUCUUUGUCCAUAGUUACGAUUUCUGGCUGCCUGGACAUCAAGUAAACAUAACACUAAAGAAGCUGGAGAUCACAUCCUGCUACUAACAAUUUUUCUGUGCAUCCUUUUCAAAAAUUGAAAAUUUUUAGAUCACAAGGCAGAAUUUAGUAAUUUUAUGCUUCUGUAAAUGUCUAGCAUUUUAAACUAAGUACAUUGUUUUGGACACUGGAAUAAUAUGAUUUAUUUUCACCUGUAAAGAUGACUUCAUUGUACUUGAACACCUUUGCAUUUCUCCAUUUGUGCCAUUUACAAGUGGAAAUAAAUUGUAUUAUACCAUGAUCUACUGGUGUUUUAAAACUGUUACAUGUGCACAUUUUGGGUAUAGCUAUUUUCAUUUGUAUGUAUAUAUUGUAUAUACAUAUGAGUGUUUAUAUGUUUGUAUAGAUGGAUGGAUAUAACUCAUUUUAAACAUGUCUGCCAGGGCUCAAGUUUUAUUGUUGUCCCCCACCUCUCCCGCCCCAUGUUACAGCAAGAGUGAGUACUCUGGGUUGAUACUUAUGGAAGGUGAUGAGUAGAUACAUUCUCUCUAUCCCUUUAGCACUUGUAUGCCUGAGGAGAAAGUUAAAUCAACUAUGAAACCAUAAGUUACAAUGCAGUAAAAGUGUGCUAGGGAAGGAGCCAGUUAUUCUUUGAGUUUGUUUUACAAUGCAACUAAAAUUACAAGCUGCAGAGAGAAAUGAACUCUGCAAUGAACACUGGUAGUAAUUGUUCUGCAGAGGUUAAGAGAGCCACUGAGUCACAGUCUUCACGGACUUAGGGUCUCUUAGUGUUGGUCCCAUGAUCCUCAUUUGCUUUUUAUCCCUAAUACUAAUAGUCAUGUUUAUUGUCGAGGGUCAAGACUGCCAAGCAAAGAAUUACAACUAAAACACAACCGAGGCUCUCCUCAGCUGUAAAAUGAGCAGGAGAUGAUCACCCAGGGAAGGUAGACUGGUUUGAAGGGCUGCCUCCUUUUGACUUACCUUCUUGCUAACAGUAAGUUCUUUGUGCACCUUCUACCCCUUCUGAUUCAAUACUGUUCAAGCAGAGAUUUGGUCUGACACAACAUGCCUUCUUAGUUUUGCUUCUUUUCUCUCGAGACAUGUAUCCUUUCUGAUGGAGUAAUUGAUGUUUAGCCAAGGCUGGCCUCAAAUUCCUAGCAGUCUUUCUGUAAGCCUCUCAAGUACUGGGAUUAUAGGCAUGAGCUACCAUGCCAAUAGCCACAGCAACCCAUUCUUUUUGGAGGUUUUAUAGUUUUGCAUUUGUCUCAUGUUCAGAAUGUGAAGUGUCCUAAUGUGUAUUAAAGUCAGAAAAUAAUAUAUUUAAGGGCUACUAAGUGUGAAUCUGCUAUAAUGAUGGAAGAAAUAGUCUUAAGGAGCAUUGGGCUGUCAUCUUUGAGCUGCUUAUCAAAAUACAGAUCAUUAUUGAAUAUAAACAAAUUCUGUUUUAUUUUGUCCCUAAUAACAGAAGUCUCCCUUCCAUGGUUUUAGCAUUGCCUUUUUAAAAAGGCACUCACCCUGAGUUGUUACAAACUGGAAAUUUCUCACCCUCAGAUUCCUUAAAGGAUGAAGAGUGUGCUGUCCACUCAGCAUAUGUGCCUCUUGUAUGCAAGGACUACUGAUGGAAGUCUGUUUUGCUGUGUCUGGUUAUGUUGUCUGCACUUUUAUGAAAUCACUACAGUAGAUCUACGUUGGAAAUAACUAUUAAUUUGUAAAGAAAAUUUUAUUAAACACUGUAGAAAAAG